AUUGUUUUUCUUUAGUAUUGGAUUCUUCAAUUAUCACUUUGGACAAAAAUAAGGAAGAAUUGAAUAAAAUUGAUGAAGUGUCGGAGAAAAAUAAGGAAGAAUUUAAUAAAAUUGAUAAAGCUUUGGACAAAAAUAAGGAAGCUUUGGACAAAAGCAAUGAAGAAGAAUCGGAUAGUUAUGAUUGUCCAAUUUGUUUGCAAGAACUUGGCGAAGAUUUUACUGAACAUGAAUGUGGUAACAAAUAUCAUAUAGAAUGUCUUCACCGUUGGGAAGUAGAAAGCAAAUACCAUAAUUGUCCUGUUUGCCGAGAAAUAUUAUA